AGAUUCAGGCGAUGAAAUUAUUUGCAAAGUUUUCUUGUUGAAUACAAUAGACCUUGAUUCAUUAUGUUGUUAUAUUUGAAUACAUAUGUGAAGUAAAGACGCAAUUAAAUCAAUAGUUAAACAAAUACAACUUUUUGGUUUGAUGAAUAAGAAUAAUGUAUUGAGAAACAGGGGGAAGGGAAAGGGACCCAACUUUUUUGUUUGAUUUAUUUUUAAGUUUGUUGAAUUAAAAAAAAUAGAGCCUAAACUAUUUCUUGAUGACAGUUUGGAAUUAGAAACUUUUCAUUGUCUUAUUUGUCUGUCACUUGGAAAUCAAUAUCAUGUUGUUCCAUCUAGGUGAAUGGAUGUGGCUGUUACAUUGAAACUGAAAGCUGCAAGCUGUUGCCUGAGCUUGGCAGUGCAGAAGUGUGGGCUUCGUCUCAUAACAGCAUGAUAAUACACAGAGUUCAAGCAAACAGGAGGACUGAAGUUGUAAUAGUUAUUGGUGUUGCUGGCAAGAAUUGGACGCACAGAAAGCAUUGUCAUUGAUUAUGAACAAUAUACUUCUUCCCUUGUAAUCAAAUCUGUUGGGAUGGACCAUGAUAAAUUUAGUUUGAUGUAGUUUGUAUUUUUCUUCUGUUUGUUGUCAAAUGCAUGCUAAUUAUGUAAUCACUUAAAAGAGUUGUAUAAUACUAUAAUCUAUCUUGGGACA